rfam:Otolemur garnettii contig131249, whole genome shotgun sequence.
GCACUCACCUCAGCAGCACACACACUAAAAUUAGAAGGACACAGAGAAGAUCAGCCAGGCCCCUACACAAGAAUGACACACAAAUUUGGGAAGUGUUUAAGAAACAC